UGUGAAGACACCUGUGGUCAGAAGCUCUGCUGAUCUGUGUCUUUUGGGUGGAACAAAGCACAGCGGAGGGUGUGCAGGUCUGAGUACAGCCGUAUGUCCUCUACUAGCAGGUCUGGACAGGGGUGCGAGGAAGGAGGAGCAGCCAGGCAGGGAUGAGUCUAUGUUUACCUCCUUAUACCUCACAGCACCCUUCAGAGGAUCUUACAUCAUCCAAGGUGCUGCAGAACCCCAGUUGAGAAUUACUGGUCUAUACCUUUACAGUGGUUUAACUUCAUUUAUGCUGGUAUAAGAAGAGAUAGACAAAAAGAUACAUUGGUUCCACAUGACCUGCAUUACACAGGAGUGUUUGCCUAUCCAUACCCUAUAGCUGCAAAGUGCUCAUUUAAUCCAUUUUCCAUUUUCUGAUAUGGCACUGUUGCACAAAAAUAAAGAAAAGCAUCCUUGGGAAUCCUUUAAAUACUGAGGUUCAGGAACACUUGAAAUAAAAGUUUUGGUUUUUUUAAUGUAUUGUUUGAACUUAUUAAAUUAUCUUAUAAUUUGUUAAAGAUGAUAACAUGCACAUGGUUGGUUUAUUAAAA